UGCCAGCAGCCGCGGUAAUACGUAGGGUGCAAGCGUUAAUCGGAAUUACUGGGCGUAAAGCGUGCGCAGGCGGUUAGGUAAGACAGAUGUGAAAUUCCCGGGCUCAACCUGGGAACUGCAUUUGUGACUGCCUGACUAGAGUGCGGCAGAGGGGAGUGGAAUUCCGCGUGUAGCAGUGAAAUGCGUAGAUAUGCGGAGGAACACCGAUGGCGAAGGCAACUCCCUGGGCCUGCACUGACGCUCAUGCACGAAAGCGUGGGGAGCAAACAGGAUUAGAUACCCUGGUAGUCCACGCCCUAAACGAUGUCGACUAGUUGUUGGACGGGUUACUGUUCAGUAACGUAGCUAACGCGUGAAGUCGACCGCCUGGGGAGUACGGCCGCAAGGUUAAAACUUAAAUAAAUUGACGG
rnacentral:rRNA from 1 species